rnacentral:rRNA from 1 species
GACGAACGCUGGCGGCGUGCCUAAUACAUGCAAGUAGAACGCUGAAGAGAGGAGCUUGCUCUUCUUGGAUGAGUUGCGAACGGGUGAGUAACGCGUAGGUAACCUGCCUGGUAGCGGGGGAUAACUAUUGGAAACGAUAGCUAAUACCGCAUAAAAUGGAUUAUCGCAUGAUAAUCCAUUGAAAGGUGCAAAUGCAUCACUACCAGAUGGACCUGCGUUGUAUUAGCUAGUUGGUGGGGUAACGGCUCACCAAGGCGACGAUACAUAGCCGACCUGAGAGGGUGAUCGGCCACACUGGGACUGAGACACGGCCCAGACUCCUACGGGAGGCAGCAGUAGGGAAUCUUCGGCAAUGGACGGAAGUCUGACCGAGCAACGCCGCGUGAGUGAAGAAGGUUGUCGGAUCGUAAAGCUCUGUUGUAAGAGAAGAACGAGGGUGAGAGUGGAAAGUUCACACUGUGACGGUAUCUUACCAGAAAGGGACGGCUAACUACGUG